rnacentral:rRNA from 1 species
CAGGAAAUCGACGGAACCCUUCGGGGGGAAGUCGACGGAAUGAGCGGCGGACGGGUGAGUAACACGUAAAGAACCUGCCCUCAGGUCUGGGAUAACCACGAGAAAUCGGGGCUAAUACCGGAUGGGUCAUCGGACCGCAUGGUCCGAGGAUGAAAGGCGCUCCGGCGUCGCCUGGGGAUGGCUUUGCGGUGCAUUAGCUAGUUGGUGGGGUAAUGGCCCACCAAGGCGACGAUGCAUAGCCGACCUGAGAGGGUGAUCGGCCACACUGGGACUGAGACACGGCCCAGACUCCUACGGGAGGCAGCAGUAGGGAAUCUUCCACAAUGGACGAAAGUCUGAUGGAGCAACGCCGCGUGAACGAUGAAGGCCUUCGGGUCGUAAAGUUCUGUUGUAAGGGAAGAACAAGUGCCGCAGGCAAUGGCGGCACCUUGACGGUACCUUGCGA